CGUGGAGGAGAAUGCCCGGGGCGUGCUGGGCGGUGCGGGCUGGGCUGGCAGCUCCUCCCUC
ensembl:miRNA